UCGUCUUUCCUGUAUUAGUCAGAUCUAUUUGGUUUCAUCGUGUAUUCAAGCUUUCGUCAUUCUCCCGUCCCCCUUCCAGAAAUGGAAGAAACUUGCUUGCUUGACUUGCCAGAAAACCUUCUGGUCACCCGCAUUUUCCCACGCCUCCCAUUGUGUGGAAUUUCAAGCCUCGGACGUGUCAACAAAUACCUCCGUCAAUUAAUCUCCAGAAGAAAUUUUCUUGAAUCUUAUCUCAAGUUUUCCCCAUAUACCACCGUUAUUGUAUCGCAUAGGUAUGUUUCCUCUGCUACCGUCCCAAGCUUCUCCCUCCUCCAAUUGGAGGAGGAUCCAACGGCACCUCUUCUUGCGUCCCUUGUCCGGACGCCCUUCCAAUCGGGGGAUGUGGCUACCAUCGUGGGAUCUUCCCACGGCUAUAUCUGCUUUCGUGUCAAUUCGUUAUUCAUUAAAAGAAUGCCAAAGCACGGGUAUUUGUCAACUCUUCAUGUAUCAAAUCCAAUUAUUGGGGAAUUCAUCACUCUGCCGCCACCGCCGUCGACAAUGAUGGGGGAUGACGGAUCGGUGGAAGGUUUUGGUUUUGGAAUGGUUGAGAAAACGAAGGAGUUCAAAAUCCUGCGAUUGUCGUGUUCUUUUUAUGAUACCGAUGGCGAAGGAGAUGGGUGCAGAGGGGAAGUCUUUAGAUUUGAAGAAUAUCGGUGGGUUUCAGUUCAAGGACCCAAUCCCCCUUUUCCUAGAUAUCGUCGAUAUUUUGAUGGCCGAAUGAAUCGGGCCGAGAUGUGCCCGUUGUCGUACCGAAAUCGUUUGCAUUGGCUCACACAGCCAAACAGGGAGGAUUUUUUAUAUUGUUUUGAUAUUGCAGAGGAACGGAUUUUUCCCAUACCGCCACCGCCGGUACUAGCAUCCGCCGAAAUGAGUGUAACAGUCCUGGAUGAUCUUCUUUCUAUUUGUGUUGUUUCGGAGGAUAGUAUCGAUAUUUGGCAGAUGCUUGACUACGGGGUGGAAGGUUCUUGGAAGAGAACUCGAAUCCUUGACCUUGGCCUUGCAGUCCGUGUCCCCCCUCUCCCUUCCGUCCCAGUGCUUCGUUUGCAAGACACUGGGAUUUUGCUUUGUCACCAAAGCUAUGAAACGCUCAAAAAAGUGAUUGAGGGGGAAAUGUCUGCGGUCAAUAUAACCGCCGGAACCCAGUCACAAGAUGUCACUGCUGUUUCCUAUAUCCCCCGCCUUGAGUCUGUGACCGAAUUGGUGAACCGUGCGGAUAAGACCAACUACAAAUACCUACGAAGGUGUAACCUUCACAACUUUAUACAAGCCACGCUUAACACGAUCAAUGGAGAAGGGGCUACAAUUGUGGUUUCCGGUGACAGUCCUUUUGUCCCCAAAGAUGCCAUUCAGAUCAUUAUUAAAAUGGCAGCUGCAAAUGGAGUAAGACAAAUUUGGGUUGGUAAGAACGGCUUGUUGUCUACUCCUGCUGUAUCAGCUGUUAUACGUAAAAGAGUUGGCAUUGAUGGUUCUAAGGCUUCUGGAGCAUUCAUAUUGACUGGUAGCCACAACCCUGGUAGCCCUUGUGAGGAUUUUGGAGUUAAAUACAUGAUGGGAAAUGGGGGACUUGCUCCAGAAUCUGUUACUCAUAAGAUCCAUGAAGCGACAAAAACCAUUGUGGAGCAUGGGUUUGCAGUAGGAUUGCCAGAUGUGGAUCUCAAUACAAUAGGUUUGACAAGAUUGCCUCUUUCAAGGGGACAAUUUGAGGUUGAAGUCUUAGAUUUAGCCAGUGACUAUGUAGAAGUGAUGAAGUCCACCUUUGAUUUUGGCCCAAUUCGGAAGCUUAUUUCAUUACCAAACUUUACUUUCUGUUUUGAUGCACUUAAUGGGUUGGCUGGAGCACUUGCAAGACGUAUCUUUGUUGAAGAGCUUGGUGCUGAAGAAAGCUCUCUGAGAAAUUGUGCUUUUAAGGAGGACUUCAUCGGAGGGUAUAAUUUUACCAAUGCAGAAUCAGUUGCUCGAAUGAGGUUGGGUAAGACCAACGCUGGCAGUGAGCCACCAGACUUUGGUGCUGUUGUUGAUUGGGAUGCUAGCUGUAACAUGGUUUUUGGCAAAAGGUUUUAUGUUACCGCAUCUGAUGCUGUUGCUGUUAUUGCUGCAAAUGCUGUUGAGGCCAUCCCUUACUUUUCUGGUGGUCUUAAAGGAGUUGCCAGGAGUAUGCCCACAUCUUCUGCUCUUGAUGUUGUGGCUAAGCGUCUCAAGCUUCCCUUGUUUGAGGUUCCUGUUGGCUUGGAGUUCCGGGGAAAUUUAAUGGAUGCUGGACUAUGUUCAAUAUGGGGUGAAGAGAGUUGCGGGAUGUGCUGUGAUUGUAUACGUGAAAGAGAUGGAAUUUGGGCCGUUUUGGCUUGGCUAGCCAUUCUGGCAGACAAAAACAAAGAUAACUUGUGUGGAGGGAGGCUUGUGACCAUUGAAGACAUUGUUUCUCAUCAUUGGUCUGUUUAUGGCCGCCACUAUUACACUCGAUAUGAUUACGAGAAUGUUGAUGCAGGUGGUGCAAAGGAGUUGAUGGCCCAUUUGGUCAAGCUGCAAUCAUCCCUCAAUGAAGUGAAUGUAAUAAUAAAAGGGAUACAUUCAGACGUUUCAAAUGUUGUUCGUGCUGAUGAGUUUUUUGAGUAUAAAGAUCCAGUGGAUGGUUCCAUCUCUAAGCAUCAGGGUAUCCGAUAUCUGUUUGAAGAUGGUUCGCGAUUGGUUUUCUGUCUUUCUGGAACUGGAUCAGAGGUUGCUACUAUUCGUGUUUAUAUUGAGCAAUAUGAGAAGUAUUCUUCAAAAACUGGCAGAGAUUCUCAAGAAGCACUUGCUCCUUUGGUUGAAGUUGCUAUUAAGCUCUCUAAGAUGGAAGCAUUCACUGGCAGAUCUGCCCCCACAACCAUCACAUAAGAACAUGCUGUUACGCAGUUUAACAGAUUUGUAUGUCUUAACAGCACAAAAAAAUGGUAUAACUGCUGUUACGAGUCAAUAAUGCUCCACUCUACGGAUACUCCAUAUCGACUUGUGUAAUUUUUGUGUUUCUGCGGCCUCAAUAUGGUGGGCAUAUUUGAUGAGAAUAUCUGUGGACUUGGGUUUCCAGUUUUGCACGUAAGAACUUUGGAUGGUCGGGGUGAGGGAGCCUAAAGAGGCUUGUGUAUCAGGGCUAGCAGAUAUGCAAACUUGACUAGACAAGACAAGGGGUGCUAUGGCAUCACUUUUGGAUUUUUUUUGGCACCACCCUUGGAAUUAGAAUCUUUCUAGAGAGCAUGGAAUUUGUCACCAAGUUCGGAUGGUACAAGCACUUGCAGUUUUUGUUCCUCCACCAACCGCUGUGAAUAAGGUGUUGCAGGAAUGUAAAACCCAAAUUUAAUCAUGCCUGGUGAUGGUUCAAGAAAAUACUAGUAUGGUAAUGGAAAAGGAACCACAGUAUGACAUUAUCUCCACACAAUAAUGCAAUACAAAGGUAUCUGAAUAAUCAAGUCUUAUCCCAAACUUUUACAGCCAACCGAAGGCAACAUGAUUAACAUUCCCAGGUAACGCAUUGAGAUAGUGUAUUAUGACAUCAAUCAGGAUGGUAUUGGCUCUGCUUCGCUUUGUUGUAGCAUUGUUGUAUGCUCAAAUUUUCUCAUUGUCGGGCCCAACUGAACUCCAAUUUAUAAAUUGUAGGUCACACCACAUCAGCGGAAGAGGGGUAGGAAGCAACCAUACCCAACAGUUCACGGUCAAGAUUUUGUCAAAAAAAUUAUACGAUCCAAAUUUUAUCUUGUACCUCGUUCUUAACAACAUGUGUGGGACUCACCAAAUUUUGUUCUAAAAUUAUACGUUAUUGAAAGUAAAUUAUACUAUGUAUAAACAGAGUUACGUUGUGUGCAAAAUGCACAUAACCUUCAGGAA